CCGCAGCGUUUCUGGAUCUGUUUGCAGUGUUGACGACGAAGGCUCUCCUGAAAAAAAUAUUCUUUGGAUGUUGUUUUAUUAUCUUUGAAGUUCUUAUGUCUGGCGGCUGGUGGUCCACGUAUCGCUUUCCAUGAUUAUGGAGGCUAGAGUGCUCACGAUUUUUUUCCGACGAGGACACCGUAGUUUCCCAAGUUCUCUCACCUCGGCAUACUGAAUAUUAAUAGAGAAGAUGAGGUCCACGAAAAGGGCCCGAAAGGAUAUGAGGGAGGUUGAGAAAGGGAAAAUAAAGUGAUAGACCCAUUUGCUGUAUUAUCCGUGAUGAGGAUAAACCAAACCACAAAAAUACAAUGCUGAAGGGAAAAAAGAAAUAAAGAGAAACAGAAAGAGAAAGAAAGGCAAUACAGAUAAGGAACAAAAGGGAAUCAGAUACUCAGGCAAAACAUCCAGCCCAUUCCCGGAUCCUGAGAUCCAUGGAAAAGUAUAUACAUAUAUAUAUAUAUAUGAAGUUCGAA
rnacentral:sRNA from 2 species